UGGACUCAACCAGAACCUGGUGAUGGACGAUACAGUGGUCUCCAGUUGUUUUGCUGUUAUGAAGAAUGCUUCCAAGAAUGUCUACUGAAAAGUUUUGUUUAGUGUAUCCAUAGUGUAAAAUCCUGUUAAUAGACAUCCACGUAGGGUGCUCUAGUUCCUCACUUUCUGAAGUUGGGGAGAUACCCCUUAUGGUAGGAGACGCAGGGGUCGUAAGGGGAGGGCAGCAGGGAGAUAGACACCUCCUCCAGAGGACAUUCUUGCCCUGAGGCAGGGAGAUGGAAGACAGGCUUCCUGGAGUUCCUUCCUCAUUGCCAGCCCCCAACUCUGGGUCACGUUUUAAGUAAACAAAGGCUGUUAGGAGGGGGUGGAGCCAGGUGGAGGGGCUCGUUCGGCUUGGGCAGGACUGCCAGUCGCACACCGUUGCCAAUCCUGGCUCUGCGGGGUGUGCGGCCGGUCCCAGUUUUGAGCCCUCCUCUUCGCCCUCUGCUUCCGGCCUUUCCCUCUGCAGUGCCCCCGAGAGGCCUGAUGGUGUCACCAGAGCGCACUUCUUCCUGGAAGCGGCCUGGGCCCUAGAGAAGCGGCCACGAAAGACCUGCGUGGACGGGGCGCCCAUGGCACCUGGAGAGGAAUCGGAGGCAAAGACACGACGAGAGUGUUCUGAGCCGAGAACACAGGAAGGAGUUCUGGCCCAGGGUCAUGAGACGUCCUUGUCCCCGUUUUUCUCUGUUGGGUUGAGUUUUGAGAAGCCAUUCAUUGCCAGGAGCGAGAAACAUGAGACUGAGGCCAAAUGUAUCACAGUUUGGGGCUGAGUUUUCUGUCUCCCCCCUUCCUCCCUCCCACUCUGUGCUCACACCCCUCUCAGAAUGCGCCUUUGGCCCAGCAAUCUGGCCUCCCCAGUCUUCUGAGCGCUGGUGGGCACCGCUGGAGGAACAGGAAGAGGACUUGGGCAGGCGCCAGCCCGGAGCAGUCUGCGCAAAUGUGACUCUAAGGCGCACAGCGAGCGCUCCGGGACAGCCGCAGCCACACGGGCCACGGCGGGCAGUUGCUGCCCCUCCCUACCCAGCAAUUAAGCCUAGCCUGUAACUACGGCGUGGGCCGGUGCUGUCUGGGGUUUUCUUCCCGGGCAGGUUGUGUGCUCAGGGCCCCAGGGGAAUCUGGGAUAAGACGCUGGGGGCGCUGCCGUGGGAAAGGCCAAGGGACACCGUCUGGACGGGUUCCCCGAGACCACGUGCUCUAAGCCCCGAAUCUGAUCCCAGGCAGGGUGCCCUGCCUCUCCCAGCUCCGUCUCUGCUCCCCAGCGGACCCGCUGUCUCCAGCAGACCUGGAGAAUCAGGUGGGGAAGGCAGUCUUCAGAGCAUUCACUCUGCCAUUCUCUGUGUCCGUCAUAGCAAUUUCUUCUCCAUGUUCAUGGAACACCUGUGGGCAGCACAGUUCCAGGCACUGGUUCUUUCAUUCCAUCAACACUGUUGGGGAGGCUACUUGGACCAGGCACUGUUCUAGGCAUUAUGGACAGAUCAUGAGUGAAAUGAAAGGAGUCCCAGACCCAGCUGGGUGGAGGUGACAGUGAUGAAGAAGUCACAUGUUGGUUGACAACUGCUGUGAACUGGCAACCGGCACCAUAGAAGGGACUGACUGGCAGCUGUACCUGACCUGAAUUUGGGGAGCUGUAAGGAAGGCCGCUGGGAUGGAGGGAUGGCCCAGUUUAUCCUGAGUAGAGCCCAUUCUUAGGAACCGCAAGAUAAAAUGGAAAAUGUCAUCUAGCCUGGAGAAAAAUGGACUCUCGCUCUUGGCCUCCCAAUAAUGGUCUGAUCCAAUCCACAUCCUCUGCAACCAUGUUUCUUCCUGCUUAGAAGAAAAGGGAUGAAAAGGACUUUUCUGCAGUCAGGCAGACCCGUGUCAACUGCGAGGUGAUCUCAGGUAGAUUGCAUGGCUUCUCUCAGUUUCGGUUUUCUUGUCAGGUAAAGAGACAGAUCAGAUGAAUGCAGUAAUUAUAAUCACCUGUGUUGGGCACUUGUUAUGUGCCUGUCACAGAUUUACAUGCAUCACCUCAUUUAAUCUUCGAAACAGGCUAGGCGUGGUGGCUCACACCUGUAAUCCCAGGACUUUGGGAGGCUGAGGCAUGUGGAUCAUUUGAGGUCAGGAGUUCAAGAUCAGCAUGGUCAACAUGGUGAAACCCCAUCUACUAAAAAUACAAAAAUUAGCUGGAUGUGGUGGCAGGCACCUGUAAUCCCAGCUACUCAGGAGGCUGAGGCAAGAGAAUUGCUUGAACCCUUGAACCUGGGAGGCUGAUAUGGCACCACUACACUCCAGCCUGGGCAACAGAGUGAGACUCUGUCUUAAAAAAAAAAAAUCUUUGAAACAACCCCUAUGAGUUUGGCAUUAUUCUCUAGGGGUGAGAUUGGGGCAAGGUAAGGGAGACAUUUGCCCCAUGCACAAAAUCUAAAGGGGUACCCCAAAAGCAAUAAUGAAGACAAUAUUUCAUUGUAAUUUUAAAAAUCGAAGUUAACGCAAAAAAAUUCAUAUUGAAUAGAUUGUCAACAUUUAAAAUCAAGACAUCAUCCCUCCCUGUACUUGCAGGACCUGGCCUCACUCAUUUUACCUUAAUCUGGCCCCAGCAUCACCCCCAAUUUGCAGAUGGAGACAUUAAGGCUCGGAGGCUUCCUUCCGCCUUGUACUUCAGGUCCUGCUAACUAUGUGGACAGGGCAGCCUGCCUUCCUCCUCCUCAAGACGUCACUCUGAGGGCCUCUGUUCACAGCCCCCACCCCCACAGGAGGGACAGGACAAUGCACAGUAAAGAGCACGUAAGUGGGGACAGCUGGCUAUUUCUGUUGUGACCGUCGUUACUGUUUAACAUGCAUUAAGAACCCACAGUGUACUUUGAAAUCAAAGGGUACCAGGAAGCGUCCUGGUAAACUUAGCUCUGUAGUCUUUCGGGGGCACCUGGCUGUACUUCACAGAGAAAUCAGAUAAAGCAAAGACAAGACCACUGUCCAUGACCCCAGAUGGGAAGCAGAGAGAGAACUGGACACCGGAAGAGAACACGUGUGGACUUGAAAGAGAUCUCCCGGCACACAGAGGGAGCGGCACAUCAUGUUUUUCCUUCUUUAAAAAUGAUUUUCACAAACUUUAAUUCAUUGUCUGUUCAUGACAAGAUAGAUAUGAUGGUUUCCAUAUUACUACGGAGAAACCUUAAGCAGAGAGAAGAUGUGGAAUUAACCUAGAGUAACACGGCUGUUUUUCUUUGGGAAAUGGAGAAGACUAGAGCGUAGGUCCUCUGCUUUCAUUCCUGCCCAUUUUCUAGUAUUUCCAUUUCAUCUGCCGCACAGACAAUUAAACUCCGUAUGCAAAGCUUGUUUGUAUGAAACUCACAAACAUGGCACUAAAUUCAUUACAUCUUUGAAUUGGAAGGAAGCAGUGGUUAUCUCACCCAAAAUCUAUGGGCCACAAACACACUCACUGUCUCCUUCCUAUGCAAGUUAUUCUUUGAGCCAGUGUUCUGGACUUCAUACUCAAAACCAGUUAAAUUUCACUGUACUUCUGCCAAGGUCUUUUCAGAUGUCCCUGUUGUCAUUUGGUUCUGUAGUAGAUCUGGAUUAUAAAAUGGCUUCCAGUGAAUCAGGUCUUCCUGUGUCCUUGUCCCUUAAAAUGUGACAUUGCUGCU